UAUACAUUACAAAGUAAGACUUUAUCUCAAAAUCCCAAAGGAGGGGCGGGGUUUCAUUCCACAAAUAUUUAUUAACUCUUUCGUUAGCACUAGGUGCCGUGGCGUGAUUCAGAGAUGCCCGCCCACCCAUCUGCAAUACUUGUAGUGCACAUACUUAUUCAGAGAACAAAAUGGGCACGGUAAUUUGACUCAGAGCUUAUGGGGGGUGGGGGGUGGGGAACCAACAGAAAAGAUGUCAUAAAGAUGACAAAGACAGACAGUAGCUGGAGGAAAGGGGAGCCAAGAGCAGGUAGAACCGGCAAACCUUCUCCAAGGUCGGAGACAUGUGAGCAGAGACUGGCUAGAGAAGAAAAGGCUGGCUGUGCCCACAGAGACAGAGCCAUUGGAGGCAUCGCUGUAUUCAGGCCUCUGCUGAGCAAGGGGUCGGUAUGCUUGAGCACCUGAGAGAAGACACACAUCUGGUGAAUGAAACCUCCUGUGGAGGCGAGCUGAUUGCAGCCCUCUGUGCUGAGGUUCCGGGUUGCUGUGGUGUGCAGCUUGCCAGUGAUUUCACUAGAGCCCUAGCACAUGAAUACCGGAGAUGGGGGAAAAGAGGCGGAUUUACAAUCUGAGAAACGCCUAAUCCGGCACAGUUUGGAGAAGAAUGUAAAUGAGGACACAUCGUCAAGUAAACUGGCUCGUCGCAUCCAUAACUGCAGGAUAGCUUCAGAUGCGGCAGCUCUGAGAACUGCACCAGUCAAUAUACACGGCCUCAGGGGCUGGAGAUGGCUCAUCGGUCGACAACACCUUCGGUGCUUCUAGAGGACUCAGAUUGGAUUCCCAGCACCUACGGUGGCUCACAACCAUCUGUCAUGUCAAGUCUAGGGGAUCUGAUGGCUUCCUGGCUUC